rnacentral:lncRNA from 1 species
GGAACUAUGCAUUUGUAUCUAAUUUAAUAGAAUGUAAUAUACUAUCUCUCUCUCCUUUGUCCUACCGUUUUCUUUGCUUCUUUGGAAAACACUGAUAAGCAGUUCCAAGAAACACUGCCCCCCAAAUAGCCAUUCCCUGCUUCCUCCUUGUUGGGCCAUGUUUUGUCUUUUUGUCCAUCCUUUCCCCAGAUGAUUUAGGGGUAAAUCCAUAUUAGUCUAAGUUAAUCAUGAAUAUUCUGUUCUAAUGAUUUUGUUGGGAUGGACAGGUGAAUAAUGAGAUACUUGGAAAAUAUUCUCAGUGCUUCGGGGAAAGAACUCAGUGAUAAAAUAUUGUCAUGACAUGAGAACAGAUUGUCUCUCAUCUGCUGAACUUUUUCAUGGCUGUAUGUUAUCCUAGAUUAUAGUUGUGGCCUGGUAGGGCAAUAGCCUGAAGAGAACAGUACACAAGAUGGGAAAAACCUGACUCAGAGGUACUGUCACUGAACUGCACAACUCUUUCUGGACCUGCUCUCUGCUCAGUAUUUAAUUCAAAUACUAGGACAAAAGAGGCUUCUUGUUUAUUCUUGGAGAUGUCUGUUAUUUAGCACUGAAGGCAUUCACCUGAUUCAAAUGAAUUCUUUUCUAAUAGAAGUGUUAAUGUUCUAUUUAAUGUUCUGGUGUUACUGUUCUAGUUUUAGAGAUGAAUUAUUUUCUUUGACAGAUUAAUGUAGGGAGGGCUGUUUGUAUCAGCCAUGGUUCUAGUGAAAAACCAUUCUGAUCCAACUAAGAAGACUUUCAUGGCAGACUUACUACAGUGGUUUGCCAGAAAGUUAAGUAUUUCUGCUUCAUUGUGCUUUUAUGCUGUCAUAAGUAAAUUCCUUUUGGAACUGAGCACUGUGGCAGGUAUGUCUCUCGUUUGAUAUAUG